GACAGAGGUCCCGAGCGUUGUUCGGAUUCAUUGGGCGUAAAGGGUGUGUAGGAGGUCGGGUAAGUCAGGUGUGAAAUCUCACAGCUUAACUGUGAAACUGCGCUUGAUACUGCUCGGCUAGAGGAUCGGAGGGGGUAACGGAAUUUAUGGUGUAGCAGUGAAAUGCGUAGAUAUCAUAAGGAACACCAGUGGCGAAGGCGGCUUCCUGGUCUGCAACUGACGCUGUGGCGCGAAAGCUAGGGGAGCAAACGGG
rnacentral:rRNA from 1 species